ensembl:ncRNA Y40H4A.3 ncRNA
CCCAAGAGUAAAUGCUCAUUUUGUUUGUACGUCUGCAUCUCUUUUUCACUCUUUAUUUAUUUUAGAAAGUUUAUGAUGAUGAUGAUGAUGAUCGGAGAGUCGGGGGUGAUAUUGAUAUGAGA